rnacentral:rRNA from 1 species
CCUACGGGUGGCAGCAGUGAGGAAUAUUGGUCAAUGGGCGAGAGCCUGAACCAGCCAAGUCGCGUGAGGGAAGACGGUCCUAUGGAUUGUAAACCUCUUUUGCCGGGGAGCAAAAAGCGGUACGUGUACCGCAUCGAGAGUACCCGGCGAAAAAGCAUCGGCUAACUCCGUGCCAGCAGCCGAGGUAAUACGGGGGAUGCGAGCGUUUACCGGAUUUAUGGGGUUAAAGGGGUGCGCAGGCGGAGAGGUAAGUGAGCGGUAAAAUUUCGGGGCUCAACCCCGACAAGCCGUUGAAACUGGCUUGCUAGAGUGGGCGAGAAGUAUGCGGAAGGCGUGGUGUAGCGGUGAAAUGCAUAGAUAUCACGCAGAACUCCGAUUGCGAAGGCAGCAUACCGGCGCCCAACUGACGCUCAGGCACGAAAGCGUGGGUAUCGAACAGGAUUAGAUACCCGGGUAGUC